GACGAACGCUGGCGGCGUGCUUAACACAUGCAAGUCGAACGGAAAGGCCCUGCUUUUGUGAGGUGCUCGAGUGGCGAACGGGUGAGUAACACGUGAGUAACCUGCCCUUGACUUUGGGAUAACUUCAGGAAACUGGGGCUAAUACCGGAUAGGAGCUCCUGCUGCAUGGUGGGGGUUGGAAAGUUUCGGCGGUUGGGGAUGGACUCGCGGCUUAUCAGCUUGUUGGUGGGGUAGUGGCUUACCAAGGCUUUGACGGGUAGCCGGCCUGAGAGGGUGACCGGCCACAUUGGGACUGAGAUACGGCCCAGACUCCUACGGGAGGCAGCAGUGGGGAAUAUUGCACAAUGGGCGGAAGCCUGAUGCAGCAACGCCGCGUGCGGGAUGACGGCCUUCGGGUUGUAAACCGCUUUCGCCUGUGACGAAGCGUGAGUGACGGUAAUGGGUAAAGAAGCACCGGCUAACUACGUGCCAGCAGCCGCGGUGAUACGUAGGGUGCGAGCGUUGUCCGGAUUUAUUGGGCGUAAAGGGCUCGUAGGUGGUUGAUCGCGUCGGAAGUGUAAUCUUGGGGCUUAACCCUGAGCGUGCUUUCGAUACGGGUUGACUUGAGGAAGGUAGGGGAGAAUGGAAUUCCUGGUGGAGCGGUGGAAUGCGCAGAUAUCAGGAGGAACACCAGUGGCGAAGGCGGUUCUCUGGGCCUUUCCUGACGCUGAGGAGCGAAAGCGUGGGGAGCGAACAGGCUUAGAUACCCUGGUAGUCCACGCUGUAAACGGUGGGUACUAGGUGUGGGGUCCAUUCCACGGGUUCCGUGCCGUGGCUAACGCUUUAAGUACCCCGCCUGGGGAGUACGGCCGCAAGGCUAAAACUCAAAGGAAUUGACGGGGCCCCGCACAAGCGGCGGAGCAUGCGGAUUAAUUCGAUGCAACGCGUAGAACCUUACCUGGGUUUGACAUGGAUCGGGAGUGCUCAGAGAUGGGUGUGCCUCUUUUGGGGUCGGUUCACAGGUGGUGCACGGCUGUCGUCAGCUCGUGUCGUGAGAUGUUGGGUUAAGUCCCGCAACGAGCGCAACCCUUGUUCACUGUUGCCAGCACGUUAUGGUGGGGACUCAGUGGAGACCGCCGGGGUCAACUCGGAGGAAGGUGGGGAUGACGUCAAGUCAUCAUGCCCCUUAUGUCCAGGGCUUCACGCAUGCUACAAUGGCUGGUACAGAGAGUGGCGAGCCUGUGAGGGUGAGCGAAUCUCGGAAAGCCGGUCUCAGUUCGGAUUGGGGUCUGCAACUCGACCUCAUGAAGUCGGAGUCGCUAGUAAUCGCAGAUCAGCAACGCUGCGGUGAAUACGUUCCCGGGGCUUGUACACACCGCCCGUCAAGUCAUGAAAGUUGGUAACACCCGAAGCCGGUGGCCUAACCGUUGUGGGGGAGCCGUCGAAGGUGGGACUGGUGAUUAGGACUAAGUCGUAACAAGGUAGCCGUACCGGAAGG
rnacentral:rRNA from 1 species